GGCAUGGAAAGCGUACGUAUACAUGCAGUCGAGCGAACGGACGAGAGUGCUUGCACUCUCUGAUGUUAGCGGCGGACGGGUGAGUAACACGUGGGUAACCUACCUAUAAGACUGGGAUAACUUCGGGAAACCGGAGCUAAUACCGGAUAAUAUUUAGCUUCGCAUGAAGCAAUAGUGAAAGACGGUUCUGCUGUCACUUAUAGAUGGACCCGCGGUGUAUUAGCUAGUUGGUGAGGUAACGGCUCACCAAGGCAACGAUACAUAGCCGACCUGAGAGGGUGAUCGGCCACACUGGGACUGAGACACGGCCCAGACUCCUACGGGAGGCAGCAGUAGGGAAUCUUCCGCAAUGGACGAAAGUCUGACGGAGCAACGCCGCGUGAGUGAAGAAGGUUUUCGGAUCGUAAAACUCUGUUGUAAGGGAAGAACAAGUACGUUAGUAACUGAACGUACCUUGACGGUACCUUACCAGAAAGCCACGGCUAACUACGUGCCAGCAGCCGCGGUAAUACGUAGGUGGCAAGCGUUAUCCGGAAUUAUUGGGCGUAAAGCGCGCGUAGGCGGUCUCUUAAGUCUGAUGUGAAAGCCCCCGGCUCAACCGGGGAGGGUCAUUGGAAACUGGGAGACUUGAGUGCAGAAGAGGAGAGUGGAAUUCCAUGUGUAGCGGUGAAAUGCGCAGAGAUAUGGAGGAACACCAGUGGCGAAGGCGGCUCUCUGGUCUGUAACUGACGCUGAGGUGCGAAAGCGUGGGGAUCAAACAGGAUUAGAUACCCUGGUAGUCCACGCCGUAAACGAUGAGUGCUAAGUGUUGGGGGGUUUCCGCCCCUCAGUGCUGCAGCUAACGCAUAAGCACUCCGCCUGGGGAGUACGGUCGCAAGACUGAAACUCAGAAAUAUUUUUGGCGG
rnacentral:rRNA from 1 species